rnacentral:lncRNA from 1 species
UUAGGAGACACGAGCAACAGCAGCGCGAGGAUUUAUAAAUUUGGGCUGAUUUUUCAUCUAAUAGCUUAAACUUUUUGGUUUGAGUCCGCAACAGGUCUUUAUCUAAAUGAGAUGAUAAAGUGAUCUACCAUCUAAAUAACCUGUUGUGGUCCAUAACAGAAGCUUGAUUUGCUUGUGUUCUCUCGUUCAUACCCUGGUCGAACAAAAUCUACUAGCCUUUUUGAUAAGGAAAUACCAAAUCGAGCUACAAAGGAGUUCUGUAUGAUUUCUGUCAUGUUUUCUGCAGUCAUUUCUCAGAAAACCAAAAGACAUUGAAGGAAUUGCCAUGAUGCUAGCUGCUAUCCUGUAGAUAUGGUUUGUUAGGUUGUGACUUCCACUAGACUUGAUUCUGCUAGUUCAACCAGCCAAAGGCAGCUCUGUUGAUAAGAAAACCUGGGUGAGCUCUACCUCAACCUUGGAGUGUCCUCAAUUAUCUACUUGUGGGAAGCGACAUGAGAACUGAAGCUCUCAAGAUCUACCUUGUCCAUGUGAACUUCUGUCAACACUCUUUUCAAUGAGACAAGUGUACAAUUCUUUGGCUAUUAUACCUCAAAAAAAAGGGAAAAUGUCACAAAGUCACAUGGGUAGAGACAUCCGACGUGUUCAUUAACUAGUCGAUCCUGAAAACAUAUUGAACCAAUUUAAUUGUGGCUAUCGUUUUCUUGGGCAGGAAGAAAAUAUCUUCUCUUGGGUAUGGUUUCAACUCUCAAAAGCCUCCAGUAAUAUGAAAUGAAUGAAUAACUUGAGGGGUUUUGACCUGUUGUUCUUCAGGAGAUUGAUAUCAUGAUGUCAAGAAAGCAUGAUCACAGUGAGCUUCACUCAUACUGGUGCAUAAGUGGCAUGGUGGUAAACGUGAGCAUCAACGUUACAGAUGGAUUCCUACUGAGAGAUUGUUUGAGCUUGAAGAAUACACAGAAAGGCUGACAGCCCUCGUCAGAAUGGAAGCAAUGAGGUAGUGCCAAUGGGACCGGAUCAUUGCUUUUUUCCUACAAAUGCCAUCUUUAAUUGCCAAAAGAGUUUGUUGAAGGGUACAAUUCAUGGUAAACCAAUAAGCAGCCUAUUUCUCCAUGGGGCGUGUGGGCUCUACAAGUUCCAAUCUGCCAGAAAAUGAUGACAAGUCAUCAUCAUGUCCUCUGGAUUAUGUUUUAGAAUCUCUCUUUUGUAUUCUGAACUCUUUAGGAAAGAGGUGGCAGUUCCUUGUAGCCAAAAGGCAUAAUUGAACAAGAAAGUGUUUAUCUUUGUUUCGGGGAUUUCCAAAAGUAGGUUAUGGAUUGUUUUCAGGUUGACAGAAUAAAAUUUCAGACUGGU